AUGCCUUUGCCACAAAAUUCUGUUCUUGGGGCUAAAGAUCUGCCAAGGGCCAUGCUUAGCGAUCAUAUAGAAGAACAACUCUUUAAACGGCUCAAUGAAGAGAGACACGAACGGGCUAUUCAUGAUGGGAAAAGUUUUGAUGAGGUUAGUGCUGCCUCAUCAAUUUACAGAAUCUUACGUUUAUGGAUCCUAUGUUUUCUUUUUCUUGUUUAUAUCUUGGUUUCCUUUCCUGAAUAUGAAAUAUGUGGUUUGUGUACUUCUUACAAACAGAGAUGUGUUGCUCCUUCUGCAUACUUUUAUUCCUUUUUUUUUCAGAAUUUGACUGUAUUUAAGUGUUUUUUUGCUAGAUCCUUGUUUCAUGCACGUGCACUUUUUUUGGGGAAUCGGGAGCUUUUCCGGACUGAAUAA
rnacentral:rRNA from 1 species